GAUUCUCAUUUGUUCUGAACUGGAAAGCCGUCUCUUUGGGUUGAUCUUCAUGAAAAAAUCUUCGCUUCUCGUGUGCACGAAAUGAUUCAACUAGCUCUUUGAUGGAAAGCUUGGAAAGAUCUUUCGUCUCCUCGGUGAUAACAACAAUGUACUCAUACUUUUCUGUGACACUAAUUAGAAUCUUUUCCACAAAUUGUUGGUCAGAAAUUGUAUCACCAUGAUUUCUCAUUUCAUUAACAAUAUUCAUGACUCUUGUGC
rnacentral:lncRNA from 1 species